CCAACAGCCAGAGAACUUCUGUUCCACCCAGCACUGUUUGAAGUGCCCUCACUCAAGCUUCUUGCUGCUCACUGUAUCGUGGGGCACCAACACAUGAUCCCAGAGAACGCUCUAGAGGAGAUCACCAAGAACAUGGAUACCAGUGCUGUACUAGCUGAAAUUCCCGCAGGGCCAGGACGAGAACCAGUUCAGACUUUGUACUCUCAGUCACCAGCCCUAGAAUUAGACAAAUUCCUUGAAGAUGUCAGGUGAGAUAGGGUGGGCUUCUGGGAGGAAGUAGGGACAGGUGUCUUGAAGCUUUCACAGAGUCUGUGUGACUUAUAUCAUCUCCCACCAGGAAUGGGAUCUACCCUCUGACAGCCUUUGGGCUACCUCGGCCUCAGCAGCCACAGCAGGAGGAGGUGACAUCACCUGUUGUGCCCCCCUCUGUCAAGACUCCAACUCCUGAGCCAGCUGAAGUGGAGACACGAAAGGUGGUGCUGAUGCAGUGCAACAUCGAAUCUGUGGAGGAGGGAGUCAAACACCAUCUAACACUUCUGCUGAAGCUGGAGGACAAAUUGAACCGGCACCUGAGCUGUGA
rnacentral:lncRNA from 1 species